rnacentral:rRNA from 1 species
CAGGCCUAACACAUGCAAGUCGAACGAGAUCUUUCGGGGUCUAGUGGCGCACGGGUGCGUAACGCGUGGGAAUCUGCCCUUGGGUUCGGAAUAACAGCGAGAAAUUGCUGCUAAUACCGGAUAAUGACGUAAGUCCAAAGAUUUAUCGCCCAGGGAUGAGCCCGCGUAGGAUUAGCUAGUUGGUGGGGUAAAGGCCUACCAAGGCGACGAUCCUUAGCUGGUCUGAGAGGAUGAUCAGCCACACUGGGACUGAGACACGGCCCAGACUCCUACGGGAGGCAGCAGUGGGGAAUAUUGGACAAUGGAGGCAACUCUGACCCAGCCAUGCCGCGUGCAGGAUGAAGGCGCUCAGCGUUGUAAACUGCUUUUACUCAUGAAGAACUGUGGGGAUGCGUCCUUACUUGACGGUAAUGAGGGAAUAAGCACCGGCUAACUCCGUGCCAGCAGCCGCGGUAAU